CAUGCUGGACCAGAGUGUCUUUGUAUGUGAUCAUGGGGAGGAGGAGGCUCUUCGUAAAGCUGGGGCACAUUUACAAACCUAAGAACCAGCAGGAAUUCUUUUGGAGGCCUGGACCUUCUCCAAGAGGCCAGUGAGGUGAGACCGGAUGAAGUCAGAGUCUGCUGAGCUUGUCCACCAUGGAGGCAUGAGUGGGAAACCCUGGCCAGGAUCUAUGUCUAAGUUUCCCCACCCACCAGUCCCAGCUGCCUGUACCUGUAAUCCGGACUGCUAUGGACUGGAGGCACGACUUUCCUUAGAGGAGUAGACUGUAGGAGCUGCCCAGGCAGGAGGCAAUGCAGGAGACUUGGGUAUUCUUUCAGAUGCCCUCCACUCCCCAAAUGGGAAUUUGGAUCCUCCUAACACCUCACAGGAAAUAACCCCAGGAAACCCUCUUGCCCCCCUGAAAAAGGCCACUUGCUUCUGAAGAAUACAGUCUGUGUCACAGACAUGCCUGCUUUCCAGUGUGACAGAAGCAAAUAGAAGCUUUGUCUCUUGUAUUUGAGUUCCCUGGUGCGCUAUAUUGAUGACUGUCCCCAAAAUUCUUGUCCACCUCAAACCCCAGAAUAUGACCCAGUUUGAAAAUAGUCUUCUGCAGAUGUAUUUAGUUAAGGUAUGUUCACACCAAUAAAGCCUAAAUCCAAA